rnacentral:rRNA from 1 species
GUGCGGAGGUACCGGCGGCACAGCUGGUAGGCCGCUUGGGGACUCCACAUAUUCCGGUGGAGGUUCGGGCUCCUGUUUGGGAUCUGGGGGUCAAGGGAGAAAAGGGGGAGCGUGAGCUAGGCCUUCUCCUCGGUUUCGAAGGCAGCAGCGUGGUAUCAGUGGUAGCACCGGUGUCCGGAGGGGCUGCGUGCCCUUCUACGGGUCCUCGAGGGAGCAGCUGCUGAGGAAGUGGAUGGAGGCGACUAAGCUCGACCCGGCGCGACACGCGAGCCCUAGAUCGGCCAAAAAGUGGUGCCGGCGGUGACAAGCAGCUGCUCGCGCUGCGUAGGCUGGUGAGGGCGCGAGAGAUUAGUGCAGGUGCUCGAGGCACUGCUACCUCGGGUCCUCGGUCUGCGGUGGCAGCUGCUGCUGAGGAUGAUGUGACCUCCACGGAUGAUGAUACACGUCGGGCGACCGCUGCUGGUCCUCAUCAAAUCCUCCUAGGGUCCGUCCUCCGGAUGCGGAGAAAACUAGACAUAGGGUCAAACACGAUCGGAAGAAUUCCGUUUGAACAAAUUGAAUACAAACAUGAGUCUAUAACAACGAAGGCAACUGAACAGAUACUAGCUCGAGAACAUAAGCUCGGGAGCUCCGAGUACCGAACAUUAUACUACGAACAUACUGAAUAAAAUAAAC